GCCGGGGUGAUGAAAUUGGUAAACAUAGCGGACUUAAAAUCCGCCGCCUUCAGGCUUGCCGGUUCAAGUCCGGUCCCCGGCACCA
rnacentral:tRNA from 1 species